rnacentral:rRNA from 1 species
UACGGGGGGGGCAAGCGUUGUUCGGAAUUACUGGGCGUAAAGGGCUCGUAGGUGGCCAACUAAGUCAGACGUGAAAUCCCUCGGCUUAACCGGGGAACUGCGUCUGAUACUGGAUGGCUUGAGUUCGGGAGAGGGAUGCGGAAUUCCAGGUGUAGCGGUGAAAUGCGCAGAUAUCAGGAGGAACACCGGUGGCGAAGGCGGGUCUCUGGGCCGAUAUUGACGCUGAGGAGCGAAAGCCAGGGGAGCAAACGGG